rnacentral:rRNA from 1 species
CUUCCGUUAAUUGAUUAUGACGUGCUUGCACUGAAUGAGAUUUUAACACGAAGUGAGUGGCGGACGGGUGAGUAACACGUGGGUAACCUGCCCAGAAGCAGGGGAUAACACCUGGAAACAGAUGCUAAUACCGUAUAACAGAGAAAACCGCCUGGUUUUCUUUUAAAAGAUGGCUCUGCUAUCACUUCUGGAUGGACCCGCGGCGCAUUAGCUAGUUGGUGAGGUAACGGCUCACCAAGGCGAUGAUGCGUAGCCGACCUGAGAGGGUAAUCGGCCACAUUGGGACUGAGACACGGCCCAGACUCCUACGGGAGGCAGCAGUAGGGAAUCUUCCACAAUGGACGCAAGUCUGAUGGAGCAACGCCGCGUGAGUGAAGAAGGGUUUCGGCUCGUAAAGCUCUGUUGUUAAAGAAGAACGUGGGUGAGAGUAACUGUUCACCCAGUGACGGUAUUUAACCAGAAAGCCACGGCUAACUACGUGCCAGCAGCCGCGGUAAUACGUAGGUGGCAAGCGUUAUCCGGAUUUAUUGGGCGUAAAGCGAGCGCAGGCGGUCUUUUAAGUCUAAUGUGAAAGCCUUCGGCUCAACCGAAGAAGUGCAUUGGAAACUGGGAGACUUGAGUGCAGAAGAGGACAGUGGAACUCCAUGUGUAGCGGUGAAAUGCGUAGAUAUAUGGAAGAACACCAGUGGCGAAGGCGGCUGUCUGGUCUGUAACUGACGCUGAGGCUCGAAAGCAUGGGUAGCGAACAGGAUUAGAUACCCUGGUAGUCCAUGCCGUAAACGAUGAUUACUAAGUGUUGGAGGGUUUCCGCCCUUCAGUGCUGCAGCUAACGCAUUAAGUAAUCCGCCUGGGGAGUACGACCGCAAGGUUGAAACUCAAAAGAAUUGACGGGGGCCCGCACAAGCGGUGGAGCAUGUGGUUUAAUUCGAAGCUACGCGAAGAACCUUACCAGGUCUUGACAUCUUCUGCCAACCUAAGAGAUUAGGCGUUCCCUUCGGGGACAGAAUGACAGGUGGUGCAUGGUUGUCGUCAGCUCGUGUCGUGAGAUGUUGGGUUAAGUCCCGCAACGAGCGCAACCCUUAUUACUAGUUGCCAGCAUUCAGUUGGGCACUCUAGUGAGACUGCCGGUGACAAACCGGAGGAAGGUGGGGACGACGUCAAAUCAUCAUGCCCCUUAUGACCUGGGCUACACACGUGCUACAAUGGAUGGUACAACGAGUCGCGAAACCGCGAGGUUUAGCUAAUCUCUUAAAACCAUUCUCAGUUCGGACUGUAGGCUGCAACUCGCCUACACGAAGUCGGAAUCGCUAGUAAUCGCGGAUCAGCAUGCCGCGGUGAAUACGUUCCCGGGCCUUGUACACACCGCCCGUCACACCAUGAGA